rfam:Monodelphis domestica chromosome 2, whole genome shotgun sequence.
CAAACGGCUCUUUUAAGAGCCACCCUCAUCUAUCAUAUUAAGGGGCU